GCGUGCUUAACACAUGCAAGUCGAACGAUGACCUCCAGCUUGCUGGAGUGAUUAGUGGCGAACGGGUGAGUAACACGUGAGUAACCUGCCCUUGACUCUGGGAUAAGCCUGGGAAACUGGGUCUAAUACUGGAUAUGACUCCUCAUCGCAUGGUGGGGGGUGGAAAGCUUUUGCGGUUUUGGAUGGACUCGCGGCCUAUCAGCUUGUUGGUGGGGUAAUGGCCUACCAAGGCGACGACGGGUAGCCGGCCUGAGAGGGUGACCGGCCACACUGGGACUGAGACACGGCCCAGACUCCUACGGGAGGCAGCAGUGGGGAAUAUUGCACAAUGGGCGAAAGCCUGAUGCAGCGACGCCGCGUGAGGGAUGAAGGCCUUCGGGUUGUAAACCUCUUUCAGUAGGGAAGAAGCGAAAGUGACGGUACCUGCAGAAGAAGCGCCGGCUAACUACGUGCCAGCAGCCGCGGUAAUACGUAGGGCGCAAGCGUUAUCCGGAAUUAUUGGGCGUAAAGAGCUCGUAGGCGGUUUGUCGCGUCUGCCGUGAAAGUCCGGGGCUCAACUCCGGAUCUGCGGUGGGUACGGGCAGACUAGAGUGAUGUAGGGGAGACUGGAAUUCCUGGUGUAGCGGUGAAAUGCGCAGAUAUCAGGAGGAACACCGAUGGCGAAGGCAGGUCUCUGGGCAUUAACUGACGCUGAGGAGCGAAAGCAUGGGGAGCGAACAGGAUUAGAUACCCUGGUAGUCCAUGCCGUAAACGUUGGGC
rnacentral:rRNA from 1 species